rnacentral:rRNA from 1 species
ACGAACGCUGGCGGCGUGCUUCACCCCUGCAAGUCGAACGGAAAGGCCCCUUUGGGGGUACUCGAGUGGCGAACGGGUGAGUAACACGUGAGUAACCUGCCCUUGACUUCGGGAUAACUUCAGGAAACUGGGGCUAAUACCGGAUAGGAAUCCUUGCUGCAUGGUGGGGGUUGGAAAGCUUCGGCGGUUUUGGAUGGACUCGCGGCUUAUCAGCUUGUUGGUGGGGUAGUGGCUUACCAAGGCUUUGACGGGUAGCCGGCCUGAGAGGGCGACCGGCCACAUUGGGACUGAGAUACGGCCCAGACUCCUACGGGAGGCAGCAGUGGGGAAUAUUGCACAAUGGGCGGAAGCCUGAUGCAGCAACGCCGCGUGCGGGAUGACGGCCUUCGGGUUGUAAACCGCUUUCAGCAGGGGCGAAGCUUGUGGUGACGGUACCUGCAGAAGAAGCACCGGCUAACUACGUG